GCUAAUGCGUGGCCGGCAGCUGUGGUAAAACGGAGGGUGCAAUCGUUUUCCGGAAUAAUUUGGUUUAAAGGGUCCGUAGGCGGCCUUAGAAGUCAGCGGUGAAAGUUUUUGGCUUAACCAAAAAAUUGCCAGUGAUACUGUAGGGCUUGAAUAUUUGUGAAGUAACUAGAAUAUGUAGUGUAGCGGUGAAAUGCUUAGAUAUUACAUGGAAUACCAAUUGCGAAGGCAGGUUACUAACAAAUGAUUGACGCUGAUGGACGAAAGCGUGGGUAGCGAACAGGAUUAGAUACCCGUGUAGUC
rnacentral:rRNA from 1 species